ACGUUUUCAUGUGUAGAGUAAAGAUAAAAUUGAUGUCGAGAAUAGCAAAUUCUGUUGUGGAAUAAUGAAAUCUUUCGGAGCGGAUAAGAAGCGAUGAGUGUUUCCUUAUACGACGAAGGGAAGUUGUGAAACGACACAAGCAAGCUAUGAACAGAAGCAGUGUCUGUUCAACGCUAUAGAACUCGAUCAACACAGUGAAAGGAGAGAGAAAGUGUGAAGAAGAGGAAUCAUCUGCAUCAUCGUCAUAAUCAUGUCUUGUUGUUUAUCUUGCUGCGCGUCUUUGACCUGUGGUCUCUGCACCUCCACUGCAUCUUGCAUCUUGCAUCUCCCAAAAAUCCGCUAGAAUCGGUUAUGUGGUCUCUUCGGUGUCUCUCUCGUCGUUUCGUGGAUCCUCAGAGAAGUUGGAGCACCCCUUUUGGAGAAAUUCCCUUGGAUAGGUGGUACAUCCGAUACCUACACAACGGAAUGGUAUCAAGCACAAGCAGUUCUGAGCUUGGGAAAUUUCACCAUGGUGGUUGGACUGCAAAAAUUGUGAUCUGGCUUUUGCUUGUGGUCCUUGCAUUCUUCCUUCCAGAUGCCGUAAUAUUAGUAUAUGGAUUCAUAGCAAAAUUUGGGGCUGGCUUGUUUUUAUUGAUUCAAGUGAUAAUUUUACUUGACUUUACUCACACUUGGAAUGAUGCAUGGGUUGAGAAAGAUGAACAAAAAUGGUAUAUUGCUUUACUUGCUGUAUCAGUUGGAUGCUACAUUGCAGCAUUUACAGGGUCAGGAAUCCUUUUCUUUUGGUUCAACCCUUCCGGAUAUGAUUGUAGCCUCAAUAUCUUCUUCUUUGUCAUGACCAUGAUUCUUGCUUUUGUGUUUGCAAUUAUUGCCUUACAUCCUCAGGUGAAUGGGAGCUUGUUGCCUUCUGCUGUGAUUUCUCUUUACUGUGCUUAUGUGUGCUCUACACGGGGCUUUCUAGUGAACCUCGUGACUAUGAGUGCAAUGGUCUCAACAAGUCCAGAGCGGUCAGUACAAGUACACUCGUUCUUGGCAUGCUAACAACAGUGCUAUCGGUGUUGUAUUCUGCUCUUCGGGCUGGAUAGUCGACCACAUUCUUAUCACCACAAUCUUCACCUAGAAUGGUUGGGAGCAAACCUCUCCUUGAAGAAGCAGAAGAAGGAAAGGCAAAGGAGGAAAAGGAAGCACAACCCGUUAUCUAUUCGUAUUCAUUCUUCCACCAAAUAUUUGCCCUGGCUAGCAUGUAUUCAGCCAUGCUUCUUUCUGGAUGGACCAGUACAUCUGAGAGCUAAGAUCUCAUAGAUGUUGGUUGGACCUCAGUUUGGGUUCGAAUCGGCACCGAGUGGGUCACUGCUGGAUUGUAUAUCUGGAUCGUGAAUUUGCUUAGCUCUCUCAUAUUACUGUAUUUUAUGACAUUCUUGUUGGUUGGUGUUUUGGCAUUGUAAGUUAUGUAUGACCUUCAAUGUCUACAUGUUGGAAUGUUGUGUGUUGCUUGCAACACAUGAUAUUAUGUAUAGAUCCCCCCCUUCAUGCGAGAUGUAAUGCAUUUUAUAUCUACCAUAGUUUUGCUGUUUGAUAACUUUUUUUGUCCAAUAUAAUUAAAAUAAAAUUGUAACAAUUCAAUUUUAAUA